UACCAGCACCCCGAGUGGUCGGGACGUUUAUUGGGCCUAAAGCAUCCGUAGCCGGUUCUACAAGUCUUCCGUUAAAUCCAACUGCUUAACAGGUGGGCUGCGGAAGAUACUAUAGAGCUAGGAGGCGGGAGAGGCAAGCGGUACUCGAUGGGUAGGGGUAAAAUCCUCUGAUCCAUUGAAGGCCACCAGUGGCGAAGGCGGCUUGCCAGAACGCGCUCGACGGUGAGGGAUGAAAGCUGGGGGAGCAAACCGG
rnacentral:rRNA from 1 species